rnacentral:lncRNA from 1 species
GUUGGAGCUAGGGUUAGGGUUGGGCUUGGAGCUAGGAUUUUUCUGAGUGCAAUGAACCAACUCCCGAGUCUCUAGGACGUUCCUAAAAAAAUUUGAUUUUUUUCCCAUAGGAAUGCAUGGGUUAGGGUUAGGGUUAGGGUUGGAGCUAGGGUUAGGGUUAGGGUUAGGGUUGGAGUUAGGGUUAGUGUUGGAGCUAGGGUUAGGGUUGGGCUUGGAGCUAGGAUUUUUCUGAGUGCAAUGAACCAACUCCCGAGUCUCUAGGACGUUCCUAAAAAAAAUUUGAUUUUUUUCCCAUAGGAAUGCAUGGGUUAGGGUUAGGGUUAGGGUUAGGGUUGGAGCUAGGGUUAGGGUUAGGGUUGGAGUUGGAGUUAGGGUUAGUGUUGGAGCUAGGGUUAGGGUUGGGCUUGGAGCUAGGAUUUUUCUGAGUGCAAUGAACCAACUCCCGAGUCUCUAGGACGUUCCUAAAAAAAUUUGAUUUUUUCCCCAUAGGAAUGCAUGGGUUAGGGUUAGGGUUAGGGUUGGAGCUAGGGUUAGGGUUAGGGUUAGGGUUGGAGUUAGGGUUAGUGUUGGAGCUAGGGUUAGGGUUGGGCUUGGAGCUAGGAUUUUUCUGAGUGCAAUGAACCAACUCCCGAGUCUCUAGGACGUUCCUAAAAAAAUUUGAUUUUUUUCCCAUAGGAAUGCAUGGGUUAGGGUUAGGGUUAGGGUUGGAGCUAGGGUUAGGGUUAGGGUUAGGGUUGGAGUUAGGGUUAGUGUUGGAGCUAGGGUUAGGGUUGGGCUUGGAGCUAGGAUUUUUCUGAGUGCAAUGAACCAACUCCCGAGUCUCUAGGACGUUCCUAAAAAAAAUUGAUUUUUUUUCCCAUAGGAAUGCAUGGGUUAGGGUUAGGGUUAGGGUUGGAGCUAGGGUUAGGGUUAGGGUUAGGGUUGGAGUUAGGGUUAGUGUUGGAGCUAGGGUUAGGGUUGGGCUUGGAGCUAGGAUUUUUCUGAGUGCAAUGAACCAACUCCCGAGUCUCUAGGACGUUCCUAAAAAAAUUUGAUUUUUUUCCCAUAGGAAUGCAUGGGUUAGGGUUAGGGUUAGGGUUAGGGUUGGAGCUAGGGUUAGGGUUAGGGUUAGGGUUGGAGUUAGGGUUAGUGUUGGAGCUAGGGUUAGGGUUGGGCUUGGAGCUAGGAUUUUUCUGAGUGCAAUGAACCAACUCCCGAGUCUCUAGGACGUUCCUAAAAAAAAUUGAUUUUUUCCCAUAGGAAUGCAUGGGUUAGGGUUAGGGUUAGGGUUAGGGUUGGAGCUAGGGUUAGGGUUAGGGUUAGGGUUGGAGUUAGGGUUAGUGUUGGAGCUAGGGUUAGGGUUGGGCUUGGAGCUAGGAUUUUUCUGAGUGCAAUGAACCAACUCCCGAGUCUCUAGGACGUUCCUAAAAAAAUUUGAUUUUUUCCCAUAGGAAUGCAUGGGUUAGGGUUAGGGUUAGGGUUGGAGCUAGGGUUAGGGUUAGGGUUAGGGUUGGAGUUAGGGUUAGUGUUGGAGCUAGGGUUAGGGUUGGGCUUGGAGCUAGGAUUUUUCUGAGUGCAAUGAACCAACUCCCGAGUCUCUAGGACGUUCCUAAAAAAAAUAGAUUUUUUUCCCAUAGGAAUGCAUGGGUUAGGGUUAGGGUUAGGGUUAGGGUUGGAGCUAGGGUUAGGGUUAGGGUUAGGGUUGGAGUUAGGGUUAGUGUUGGAGCUAGGGUUAGGGUUGGGCUUGGAGCUAGGAUUUUUCUGAGUGCAAUGAACCAACUCCCGAGUCUCUAGGACGUUCCUAAAAAAAUUUGAUUUUUUUUCCCAUAGGAAUGCAUGGGUUAGGGUUAGGGUUAGGGUUGGAGCUAGGGUUAGGGUUAGGGUUAGGGUUGGAGUUAGGGUUAGUGUUGGAGCUAGGGUUAGGGUUGGGCUUGGAGCUAGGAUUUUUCUGAGUGCAAUGAACCAACUCCCGAGUCUCUAGGACGUUCCUAAAAAAAUUUGAUUUUUUCCCAUAGGAAUGCAUGGGUUAGGGUUAGGGUUAGGGUUGGAGCUAGGGUUAGGGUUAGGGUUAGGGUUGGAGUUAGGGUUAGUGUUGGAGCUAGGGUUAGGGUUGGGCUUGGAGCUAGGAUUUUUCUGAGUGCAAUGAACCAACUCCCGAGUCUCUAGGACGUUCCUAAAAAAAUUUGAUUUUUUCCCAUAGGAAUGCAUGGGUUAGGGUUAGGGUUAGGGUUGGAGCUAGGGUUAGGGUUAGGGUUAGGGUUGGAGUUAGGGUUAGUGUUGGAGCUAGGGUUAGGGUUGGGCUUGGAGCUAGGAUUUUUCUGAGUGCAAUGAACCAACUCCCGAGUCUCUAGGACGUUCCUAAAAAAAUUUGAUUUUUUUCCCAUAGGAAUGCAUGGGUUAGGGUUAGGGUUAGGGUUAGGGUUGGAGCUAGGGUUAGGGUUAGGGUUGGAGUUAGGGUUAGUGUUGGAGCUAGGGUUAGGGUUGGGCUUGGAGCUAGGAUUUUUCUGAGUGCAAUGAACCAACUCCCGAGUCUCUAGGACGUUACUAAAAAAAUUUGAUUUUUUCCCAUAGGAAUGCAUGGGUUAGGUUUAGGGUUAGGGUUGGAGCUAGGGUUAGGGUUAGGGUUAGGGUUGGAGUUGGAGUUAGGGUUAGUGUUGGAGCUAGGGUUAGGGUUGGGCUUGGAGCUAGGAUUUUUCUGAGUGUAAUGAACCAACUCCCGAGUCUCUAGGACGUUCCUAAAAAAAAUUGAUUUUUUCCCCAUAGGAAUGCAUGGGUUAGGGUUAGGGUUAGGGUUGGAGCUAGGGUUAGGGUUAGGGUUAGGGUUAGGGUUGGAGUUAGGGUUAGUGUUGGAGCUAGGGUUAGGGUUGGGCUUGGAGCUAGGAUUUUUCUGAGUGCAAUGAACCAACUCCCGAGUCUCUAGGACGUUCCUAAAAAAAAAUGAUUUUUUCCCAUAGGAAUGCAUGGGUUAGGGUUAGGGUUAGGGUUGGAGCUAGGGUUAGGGUUAGGGUUAGGGUUGGAGUUAGGGUUAGUGUUGGAGCUAGGGUUAGGGUUGGGCUUGGAGCUAGGAUUUUUCUGAGUGCAAUGAACCAACUCCCGAGUCUCUAGGAUGUUCCUACAAAAAUUUGAUUUUUUCCCAUAGGAAUGCAUGGGUUAGGGUUAGGGUUAGGGUUGGAGCUAGGGUUAGGGUUAGGGUUAGGGUUGGAGUUAGGGUUAGUGUUGGAGCUAGGGUUAGGGUUGGGCUUGGAGCUAGGAUUUUUCUGAGUGCAAUGAACCAACUCCCGAGUCUCUAGGACGUUCCUAAAAAAAUUUGAUUUUUUCCCAUAGGAAUGCAUGGGUUAGGGUUAGGGUUAGGGUUGGAGCUAGGGUUAGGGUUAGGGUUAGGGUUGGAGUUAGGGUUAGUGUUGGAGCUAGGGUUAGGGUUGGGCUUGGAGCUAGGAUUUUUCUGAGUGCAAUGAACCAACUCCCGAGUCUCUAGGACGUUCCUAAAAAAAUUUGAUUUUUUUUCCCAUAGGAAUGCAUGGGUUAGGGUUAGGGUUAGGGUUGGAGCUAGGGUUAGGGUUAGGGUUAGGGUUGGAGUUAGGGUUAGUGUUGGAGCUAGGGUUAGGGUUGGGCUUGGAGCUAGGAUUUUUCUGAGUGCAAUGAACCAACUCCCGAGUCUCUAGGACGUUCCUAAAAAAAUUUGAUUUUUUUCCCAUAGGAAUGCAUGGGUUAGGGUUAGGGUUAGGGUUGGAGCUAGGGUUAGGGUUAGGGUUAGGGUUGGAGUUAGGGUUAGUGUUGGAGCUAGGGUUAGGGUUGGGCUUGGAGCUAGGAUUUUUCUGAGUGCAAUGAACCAACUCCCGAGUCUCUAGGACGUUCCUAAAAAAAUUUGAUUUUUUUCCCAUAGGAAUGCAUGGGUUAGGGUUAGGGUUAGGGUUAGGGUUGGAGCUAGGGUUAGGGUUAGGGUUAGGGUUGGAGUUAGGGUUAGUGUUGGAGCUAGGGUUAGGGUUGGGCUUGGAGCUGGAUUUUUCUGAGUGCAAUGAACCAACUCCCGAGUCUCUAGGACGUUCCUAAAAAAAUUUGAUUUUUUCCCAUAGGAAUGCAUGGGUUAGGGUUAGGGUUAGGGUUGGAGCUAGGGUUAGGGUUAGGGUUAGGGUUGGAGUUAGGGUUAGUGUUGGAGCUAGGGUUAGGGUUGGGCUUGGAGCUAGGAUUUUUCUGAGUGCAAUGAACCAACUCCCGAGUCUCUAGGACGUUCCUAAAAAAAAUAGAUUUUUUUCCCAUAGGAAUGCAUGGGUUAGGGUUAGGGUUAGGGUUAGGGUUGGAGCUAGGGUUAGGGUUAGGGUUAGGGGUUGGAGUUAGGGUUAGUGUUGGAGCUAGGGUUAGGGUUGGGCUUGGAGCUAGGAUUUUUCUGAGUGCAAUGAACCAACUCCCGAGUCUCUAGGACGUUCCUAAAAAAAUUUGAUUUUUUCCCAUAGGAAUGCAUGGGUUAGGUUUAGGGUUAGGGUUGGAGCUAGGGUUAGGGUUAGGGUUAGGGUUGGAGUUAGGGUUAAUGUUGGAGCUAGGGUUAAGGGAUGGGCUUGGAGCUAGGAUUUUUCUGAGUGCAAUGAACCAACUCCCGAGUCUCUAGGACGUUCCUAAAAAAAUUGAUUUUUUCCCAUAGGAAUGCAUGGGUUAGGUUUAGGGUUAGGGUUGGCGCUAGGGUUAGGGUUAGGGUUAGGGUUGGAGUUAGGGUUAGUGUUGGAGCUAGGGUUAGGGUUGGGCUUGGAGCUAGGAUUUUUCUGAGUGCAAUGAACCAACUCCCGAAUCUCUAGGACGUUCCUAAAAAAAAUUGAUUUUUUCCCAUAGGAAUGCAUGGGUUAGGUUUAGGGUUAGGGUUGGAGCUAGGGUUAGGGUUAGGGUUAGGGUUGGAGUUAGGGUUAGUGUUGGAGCUAGGGUUAGGGUUGGGCUUGGAGCUAGGAUUUUUCUGAGUGCAAUGAACCAACUCCCGAGUCUCUAGGACGUUCCUAAAAAAAUUUGAUUUUUUUCCCAUAGGAAUGCAUGGGUUAGGGUUAGGGUUAGGGUUAGGGUUGGAGCUAGGGUUAGGGUUAGGGUUAGGGUUGGAGUUAGGGUUAGUGUUGGAGCUAGGGUUAGGGUUGGGCU